ensembl:lncRNA
GUUGGUUAGGUGUUCACGGAAGAGGUGGGUCUUUAGCUGUUUUUUGAAGAUGGUGAGAGAUUCUGCGGUCCGGAUUGAGGUUGGAAGUUCAUUCCACCGCUGAGGAACAGUUAGUUUGAAUGUUCUGGAAAGGGACCUUGAGCCGCGCUGAGUAGGUACUACUAAGUGUCAGUCAUUAAUUGAUCGCAUAUUGUGUGAAGGAACAUAAGCCUUCAGGAGAGAGUUGAGGUAGGAGGGUGCUGUUCCAGACAAGGUCGUGUAGGUGAGCAUCAAGGCUUUGAAUUUGAUGCAGGCGGCUACAGGAAGCCAGCGGAGGGAGAUGAAGAGGAGUGUGACAUGGGUUCUCUUGGGCUGGUUGAAGACAAGGCGUGCUGCAGCAUUCUGUAUCAUCUGGAGGGGUUUGAUGGAGCUGGCCGGGAGGCCCGAGAGUAGUGAGUUGCAGUAGUCCAGUUUUGAUAUGACAAGAGCCUGGACUAGUAGUUGUGUAGCCUGUUCGGUGAGGUAGGGUCUGAUUCUCUUGAUGUUGUACAGGAUGAAACUACAGGACCGUGCAGUUGUUGAGAUGUGGUCAGUAAAGGUCAAGCUGUCAUCGAGAAUCAUCCAAAGGUUCCUGGCCGUCCUGGUUGGCUUGAGUGUGGUUGAGCCGAGCUGUACAGUGAGGUUGUGGUUGAUUGAGGGGCAGGCUGGGAUGACGAGAAGCUCAGAUUUUGCCACGUUGAGCUUAAGGUAGUGUUCCCUCAUCCAGACCGAAAUGUCCGUCCGGCAAGCAGAGAUACGUGCAGAGACGGAUGGAUCCCCAGGCUGGAAGGACAAAUCGAGCUAGGUGUCAUCAGCAUAGCAGUGGUAUGAGAAGCCAUGAGACUCAAUCACCUGCCCAGAGAUGUAGUGUAGAUAGAAAAGAACUAGAAAAUUAUAUGACGAGUGCCUUACUCACUCUGAAGAGUGUAUCAAGUAUGAAAAUCUUCCUCAUUGCUAAUUUUUCCUCAUGGUUAUUAUGUUUGGCACGUCUUAAUGUGUCUCCUCGUUGUCACCUCCAGGUGAAGAUGGAAAAUUGCCGCUCCAGGGGGUCUGGCUUCGUGCACUCCUCAUCUUCCCAGGAAGCCACGAAGGCCAGGAAUCUGCACUAGACUGCGCAGACCAUCCAGCCACAACGAAACCCUAAAGAUGCUUCAUAACAUCAAUGACAGGAAUAAGAGGAAGAAGAAGAAAAGAAAAGAAAGAACAAUAAAUAAACAUUGUACUCAACAUUUGCAC